UACAGGACUGCAAGCGUUAUUCGGAUUCACUGGGCGUAAAGGGUGCGCAGGCGGCCAAGUGUGUGAGGCGUGAAAGCCCGGGGCUUAACCCCGGAAUUGCACCUCAAAACUACAUGGCUAGAGCAUUGGAGAGGGUAGCAGAAUUCAUGGUGUAGCAGUGAAAUGCGUAGAUAUCAUGAGGAAUACCAGAGGCGAAGGCGGCUACCUGGACAAUUGCUGACGCUCAGGCACGAAAGCGUGGGGAGCAAAAGGG
rnacentral:rRNA from 1 species